AUUGAACGCUGGCGGCAGGCAUAACACAUGCAAGUCGAACGAGUGGAGGACGGGUGAGUAAUGUCUGGGAAACUGCCCGAUGGAGGGGGAUCACUACUGGAAACGGUAGCUAAUACCGCAUACCAGCGGAUGUGCCCAGAUGGGAUGAGCUAGUAGGUGGGGGAACGGCUCACCUAGACGAGGAUCACUAGCUGGUCUGAGAGGAUGACCAGACACACUGGAGCUGAGAAACGGUCAAGACUCCUACGGGAGGCAGCAGUGGGGAAUAUUGCACAAUGGUCGCAAGCCUGAUGCAGCCAUGCCGCGUGUAUGAAGAAGGCCUUCGGGUUGUAAAGUACUUUCAGCGAGGAGGCGUUACUCGCAGAAGAAGCAUCGGCUAACUCCGUGCCAGCAGCCGCGGUAAUAC
rnacentral:rRNA from 1 species